ensembl:lncRNA PCDH9-AS4 PCDH9 antisense RNA 4
UUUUCUAGUCAACAAUACGCUUAUUACAUAAAAUAUCCAUGAAAAUGGGACCUGGGCAUUAUCUCUCAAGUUUGGUUUCCUUAUUAUUGUUUAAUGUUAAUUUUCUUUUCCAGAAGGCUCAUCUGAAUAUAUUUUUAAUAUUAGCGGGUUUUUAGAAAAAAAUACGUCCUUGACUCCAACUUGCCAGUUACACAUCUCAUCUGGACCAGAGUCGGUAGUUGGAGUACAUUGGUGAAUAGUCACCACUCUCUGCCCUUGUGAAGCUUGUAUUCUAUACAGGUAACUACACGGCAGAAAACUUGUAAGAAUUUAGUCAUGAUCAGGAAGAUUUUCAGCUUAUUGAUGUUUCCUCACAGUUCUUGUCCAAAAAUGCGGGUUUCCACUGUAUUGAAUCACUUCUUAAAUAAAUAUUGAUUAUGUGAAAUAGUACCAAGAA